rnacentral:rRNA from 1 species
ACUCAAAGGAAUUGACGGGGGCCCGCACAAGCGGUGGAGCAUGUGGUUCAAUUCGACGCAACGCGAAGAACCUUACCUGGGUUAAAUCCACUCGAAUACUGCAGAGAUGUGGUAGUGCCCUUCGGGGAGCGAGUGAGAAGGUGCUGCAUGGCUGUCGUCAGCUCGUGUCGUGAGAUGUUGGGUUAAGUCCCGCAACGAGCGCAACCCUUGUCAUUAGUUGGCAUCAGUUUCGGCUGGCCACUCUAACGAGACUGCCGGCGUUAAGCCGGAGGAAGGUGGGGAUGACGUCAAGUCCUCAUGGCCCUUAUGCCCAGGGCUACACACGUGCUACAAUGGCCGGUACAAAGGGCUGCUAACCCGCGAGGGGGAGCCAAUCCCAAAAAACCGGUCUCAGUUCGGAUUGGAGUCUGCAACUCGACUCCAUGAAGUCGGAAUCGCUAGUAAUCCCUGAUCAGCAGGCAGGGGUGAAUACGUUCCCGGGCCUUGUACACACCGCCCGU